AUUGAACGCUGGCGGCAUGCCUUACACAUGCAAGUCGAACGGUAACGGGCCUUCGGGUGCCGACGAGUGGCGAACGGGUGAGUAAUACAUCGGAACGUGCCCGAUCGUGGGGGAUAACGAGGCGAAAGCUUUGCUAAUACCGCAUACGAUCUACGGAUGAAAGCAGGGGAGCGCAAGGGCUUGCGCGGACGGAGCGGCCGGUGGCGGAUUAGGUAGUUGGUGGGCUAAACGCUUACCAAGCCGACGAGCUGGAGCUGGUCUGAGAGGCUGAUCGGCCACACUGGAACUUAGACACGGCCCAGACUCCUACGGGAGGCACCAGUGGGGAAUUUUGGACAAUGGGCGCAAGCCUGAUCCAGCCAUGCCGCGUGCAGGAUGAAGGCCUUCGGGUUGUAAACUGCUUUUGUACGGAACGAAAAGCCUUCUUUUAAUACAGGAGGGUCAUGACGGUACCGUAAGAAUAAGCACCGGCUAACUACGUG
rnacentral:rRNA from 1 species